rnacentral:rRNA from 1 species
UUAAGCGACUAAGCGUACACGGUGGAUGCCCUGGCAGUCAGAGGCGAUGAAGGACGUGCUAAUCUGCGAUAAGCGUCGGUAAGGUGAUAUGAACCGUUAUAACCGGCGAUUUCCGAAUGGGGAAACCCAGUGUGAUUCGUCACACUAUCAUUAACUGAAUCCAUAGGUUAAUGAGGCGAACCGGGGGAACUGAAACAUCUAAGUACCCCGAGGAAAAGAAAUCAACCGAGAUUCCCCCAGUAGCGGCGAGCGAACGGGGAGCAGCCCAGAGCCUGAAUCAGUGUGUGUGUUAGUGGAAGCGUCUGGAAAGGCGCGCGAUACAGGGUGACAGCCCCGUACACAAAAAUGCACAUACUGUGAGCUCGAUGAGUAGGGCGGGACACGUGGUAUCCUGUCUGAAUAUGGGGGGACCAUCCUCCAAGGCUAAAUACUCCUGACUGACCGAUAGUGAACCAGUACCGUGAGGGAAAGGCGAAAAGAACCCCGGCGAGGGGAGUGAAAAAGAACCUGAAACCGUGUACGUACAAGCAGUGGGAGCACGCUUAGGCGUGUGACUGCGUACCUUUUGUAUAAUGGGUCAGCGACUUAUAUUCUGUAGCAAGGUUAACCGAAUAGGGGAGCCGAAGGGAAACCGAGUCUUAACUGGGCGUUAAGUUGCAGGGUAUAGACCCGAAACCCGGUGAUCUAGCCAUGGGCAGGUUGAAGGUUGGGUAACACUAACUGGAGGACCGAACCGACUAAUGUUGAAAAAUUAGCGGAUGACUUGUGGCUGGGGGUGAAAGGCCAAUCAAACCGGGAGAUAGCUGGUUCUCCCCGAAAGCUAUUUAGGUAGCGCCUCGUGAAUUCAUCUCCGGGGGUAGAGCACUGUUUCGGCAAGGGGGUCAUCCCGACUUACCAACCCGAUGCAAACUGCGAAUACCGGAGAAUGUUAUCACGGGAGACACACGGCGGGUGCUAACGUCCGUCGUGAAGAGGGAAACAACCCAGACCGCCAGCUAAGGUCCCAAAGUCAUGGUUAAGUGGGAAACGAUGUGGGAAGGCCCAGACAGCCAGGAUGUUGGCUUAGAAGCAGCCAUCAUUUAAAGAAAGCGUAAUAGCUCACUGGUCGAGUCGGCCUGCGCGGAAGAUGUAACGGGGCUAAACCAUGCACCGAAGCUGCGGCAGCGACGCUGAUGCGUUGUUGGGUAGGGGAGCGUUCUGUAAGCCUGCGAAGGUGUGCUGUGAGGCAUGCUGGAGGUAUCAGAAGUGCGAAUGCUGACAUAAGUAACGAUAAAGCGGGUGAAAAGCCCGCUCGCCGGAAGACCAAGGGUUCCUGUCCAACGUUAAUCGGGGCAGGGUGAGUCGACCCCUAAGGCGAGGCCGAAAGGCGUAGUCGAUGGGAAACAGGUUAAUAUUCCUGUACUUGGUGUUACUGCGAAGGGGGGACGGAGAAGGCUAUGUUGGCCGGGCGACGGUUGUCCCGGUUUAAGCGUGUAGGCUGGUUUUCCAGGCAAAUCCGGAAAAUCAAGGCUGAGGCGUGAUGACGAGGCACUACGGUGCUGAAGCAACAAAUGCCCUGCUUCCAGGAAAAGCCUCUAAGCAUCAGGUAACAUCAAAUCGUACCCCAAACCGACACAGGUGGUCAGGUAGAGAAUACCAAGGCGCUUGAGAGAACUCGGGUGAAGGAACUAGGCAAAAUGGUGCCGUAACUUCGGGAGAAGGCACGCUGAUAUGUAGGUGAAGUCCCUCGCGGAUGGAGCUGAAAUCAGUCGAAGAUACCAGCUGGCUGCAACUGUUUAUUAAAAACACAGCACUGUGCAAACACGAAAGUGGACGUAUACGGUGUGACGCCUGCCCGGUGCCGGAAGGUUAAUUGAUGGGGUUAGCGCAAGCGAAGCUCUUGAUCGAAGCCCCGGUAAACGGCGGCCGUAACUAUAACGGUCCUAAGGUAGCGAAAUUCCUUGUCGGGUAAGUUCCGACCUGCACGAAUGGCGUAAUGAUGGCCAGGCUGUCUCCACCCGAGACUCAGUGAAAUUGAACUCGCUGUGAAGAUGCAGUGUACCCGCGGCAAGACGGAAAGACCCCGUGAACCUUUACUAUAGCUUGACACUGAACAUUGAGCCUUGAUGUGUAGGAUAGGUGGGAGGCUUUGAAGUGUGGACGCCAGUCUGCAUGGAGCCGACCUUGAAAUACCACCCUUUAAUGUUUGAUGUUCUAACGUGGACCCGUAAUCCGGGUUGCGGACAGUGUCUGGUGGGUAGUUUGACUGGGGCGGUCUCCUCCUAAAGAGUAACGGAGGAGCACGAAGGUUGGCUAAUCCUGGUCGGACAUCAGGAGGUUAGUGCAAUGGCAUAAGCCAGCUUGACUGCGAGCGUGACGGCGCGAGCAGGUGCGAAAGCAGGUCAUAGUGAUCCGGUGGUUCUGAAUGGAAGGGCCAUCGCUCAACGGAUAAAAGGUACUCCGGGGAUAACAGGCUGAUACCGCCCAAGAGUUCAUAUCGACGGCGGUGUUUGGCACCUCGAUGUCGGCUCAUCACAUCCUGGGGCUGAAGUAGGUCCCAAGGGUAUGGCUGUUCGCCAUUUAAAGUGGUACGCGAGCUGGGUUUAGAACGUCGUGAGACAGUUCGGUCCCUAUCUGCCGUGGGCGCUGGAGAACUGAGGGGGGCUGCUCCUAGUACGAGAGGACCGGAGUGGACGCAUCACUGGUGUUCGGGUUGUCAUGCCAAUGGCACUGCCCGGUAGCUAAAUGCGGAAGAGAUAAGUGCUGAAAGCAUCUAAGCACGAAACUUGCCCCGAGAUGAGUUCUCCCUGACUCCUUGAGAGUCCUGAAGGAACGUUGAAGACGACGACGUUGAUAGGCCGGGUGUGUAAGCGCAGCGAUGCGUUGAGCUAACCGGUACUAAUGAACCGUGAGGCUUAACCUU